rnacentral:rRNA from 1 species
UACGAAGGGUGCAAGCGUUACUCGGAAUUACUGGGCGUAAAGCGUGCGUAGGCGGUUCGUUAAGUCUGUCGUGAAAGCCCUGGGCUCAACCUGGGAAUUGCGAUGGAUACUGGCGAGCUAGAGUACGGUAGAGGAUGGUGGAAUUCCCGGUGUAGCGGUGAAAUGCGUAGAGAUCGGGAGGAACACCCGUGGCGAAGGCGGCCAUCUGGGCCAGUACUGACGCUGAGGCACGAAAGCGUGGGGAGCAAACAGG